rnacentral:ribozyme from 2 species
UUUUUUUUUUUUUUUUUUUUUUUUUC